GGAUGUGAGGGCAAUCUGGCUGAGACAUCUGUCAUUCCAACGAAUGCCAGGGUUGAUUUGGCUGAUAUGGCUGCGAGGCUGGUGUCCACUUCCUCCCUCAUGACUCCAUGUAUAGCCCUCCUGAUGCUGCGCAUCCAGUCAAAGAGGAAGACCCCCCUCACAGAGGAGGACUGUUUGUCAUGGGUAUAUGAGUAGCUGUGUUCCCCUGCUAGAGCCUCCAACAAGCUCCCACAAAGAUAUGAAAGGGUAGUAACUACAUGAAAAUGUUUAUGACAUUCACCUCCUAAAGGAGGU
ensembl:misc_RNA 7SK 7SK RNA